rnacentral:misc_RNA from 1 species
UGGGAACUUCGCUUGCUGGCUGGCUGAGUUCUCGUUCGAUUCCCUCGCGCAUCUUUUCGUUCGGCGCAUGUUCAUACCCUCACUUCUUCCAGAAGAAAGAUAACUCUACUUCCCCCCCCUCCCUUCCCCCCUCCCCUAAUUAGGUAACCCGUAAUUUUUACAUGACUCGCUUCUCCUCUCUGCACAGCGUGCUCGCCACUGCCGCCACGCUGCUGCUGACACUCUGCGUGCUGAGCGUCGAGGCCAGCUACUGGUCGGAGGAAGUGAACCGCGUGCGCACGUACGCGGCGGUCAACUACCUGGAGCGCAUUGCAAAGCAGCCGAACGUGUCCGCGCUGCCUUCUGGGCUCCUCUUCACAAUCGAGCGUCGCGGCUUCGGCGACCGUGCCCCGGCGGCGGAGGACAAGUGUGAGAUGCAUUAUACGAUCCACUACCGCUUUCCCGGCAUUGUGGAGAGCACGCGCCACCACCCCUACCCGGUGCGGCGCUCGCCGUCGCAGCUGAUCCCUGGCAUGGCUGAGGCGAUGCAGCUGAUGCGCGAAGGUGACCGGUGGUACCUCCACGUGCCCUACCAGCUCGGCUACGGGAAGGAGGGCUGCAAGGAGAAGAAGGUGCCAAGUUUGUCGAACCUGCGCGUGGAGAUAGAGAUGUACAAGUGCGAGUCGGCGAGUGGUAAGACGAGCGCCGAAAUCGACGCGUAUCUCGCCAAGUACAUGAAGACACGGAUACCGGAAAAGGCGGCGCCGGUCGAUUACACGGAUUUGUAGAUCCGGUCCCUCGUCUGCCUCCCCCUGUGUGUGGUUGCCGUUUUUUUUUUCUCUGGGGUGUCGACGAAUUCGGUGCGAUGAGUAUCAUCUCUGCUUGAAGCGUCGUGAACGAUCACCGUUGCACGUCAUUUUUCGCGCUCUGGCCCCUCCCCUCCCUGUUUGUGGUAGUGUCUGUGGCGACGGCAGUGUCUCGUCUUGUAAGGCGAGAUGCGAGGAGAGCGGGAAAGAGAAGGCGCGAGCUGAAGGCGAGAGGGAUGGAUAGCAGGCAUAGCCUUGUGCGCUGCCACUGCAGCGUUGCAGAGAAGGCGCGCCGUGUCGUAUAUGUGGGUGCCCACGCUUCAGCACACGGUCACCUGGUUGUUGGUAGUUUGUUAGUGGCUGGCUUUCUUUUUUCGAGAGGGAGGAGAGGAAGGUUGACGACGUGUGUUGAAGGCCUGUGCGUGUGCGCUGAGAUGUUCGAUAAGGUGGCACUCGUGCCCGUAUCACCGUGCCAAGCACGCACAUAGAAAUAAGGGCGUGUACAACAAAGGGAAACGGGUAAAAAAGGCGAAAGGGUUGAAGUAGAGGCAAACGAAAAAUGUCCGAAAAGUCGAGGCGACAGUUACCCCGACUGCACCUGGCGAAUCUGAGUCGUACGUGGGCAUGCGAGCAUGGCUGACGUGAAGCAGUUGCGCGUGUCUGCGACCUUCCUGUUCAUGCGUCACCCGCGUGUGCUCGAAAAAAAAAGCACACAAACAAAUCGAUGAGCCUUGCCGCACGUGGACGUGUGCCGCGUUACUCGCCAGGGGAAGCUUGCAUCGUACAACGAGCGCAAAG